CCAUGCAUGUCUAAGUACAAUUCCUUGAAUGGUAGAAACCGCGAAUGGCUCAUUAAAUCAGCUAUGAUUGAUUGGACUCUCUCUGAUAUACAAGGAUAACUGUAGUAAUUCUAGAGCUAAUACCUGCCAACUAUGUCCUGACCUCACGGAAAGGAUGGCUUUAUUAGAACAAAACUAACCGGGUUUCGGCCUGAUCUGUGAUGUUGACUCUUGAUAAAGUUACUGAUCGUACGACCUUGUGUCAGCGACGUGUCCUUCAAAUGUCUGACCUAUCAGCUAAAGACGGUAGGAUAUUGGCCUACCGUGGCUAUAACGGGUGACGGGGAAUCUGGGUUCGAUUCCGGAGAGGGAGCCUGAGAAACGGCUACUACAUCCAAGGAAGGCAGCAGGCGCGUAAAUUACCCACUCCGGCACGGGGAGGUAGUGACAAUAAAUAACAAUAUGAUACUCGUUAGAGGCAUCAUAAUUGGAAUGAGUGCAGAUUAAAUACUUGUACAAGUAUCAAUUGGAGGGCAAGUCUGGUGCCAGCAGCCGCGGUAAUUCCAGCUCCAAUAGCGUAUAUUAACGUUGUUGCAGUUAAAAAGCUCGUAGUUGAAUUCAAAACAUGGAUUUGCCGGUUCACCCUUGGGUGCAACUGGUAGUUCAGUUUACAGAGUCGUGAACCUUGGAUGAUCUUAAUCGGUUGUCUUUGGUGAUCGGCGCUUUUACUUUGAAAAAAUUGGAGUGCUUAAAGCAGGCAGUUGCCUGAACAGUGGUGCAUGGAAUAAUGAAAGAGGACUUCGGUCUUAUUUUGUUGGUUUUAGAAACCGAAGUAAUGAUUAAAAGGGACUGACGGGGGCAUCUGUAUACCAGGGGGAGAGGUGAAAUUCAUAGAUCCUUGGUAGACAAUCUACUGCGAAAGCAUUUGCCAAGAAUGUUUUCAUUAAUCAAGAACGAAAGUYAGAGGUUCGAAGACGAUCAGAUACCGUCCUAGUUCUGACCAUAAACUAUACCAUCUAGUAAUCUGUGUGGCUUUUUUAAUGUUCACACAGGCAGCCUCCGGGAAACCAAAGAUUUUGGGUUCCGGGGGUAGUAUGGUUGCAAAGCUGAAACUUAAAGGAAUUGACGGAAGGGCACCACCAGGAGUGGAGCUUGCGGCUUAAUUUGACUCAACACGGGAAAACUCACCCGGCCCGGACACUAGAAGGAUUAACAGAUUGAAAGCUCUUUUUUGAUUUGGUGGAUGGUGGUGCAUGGCCGUUCUUAGUUGGUGGAGCGAUUUGUCUGGUUAAUUCCGAUAACGAACGAGACUCUAUUCUGCUAAUUAGUACGCCUGUAAAUAUUGCAGGGGAUGACUUCUUAGAGAGAUAAGCAGCUUUUAGCUGAUUGACAAAGAGCAAUAACAGGUCUGUGAUGCCCUUAGAUGUCCGGGGCUGCACGCGUGCUACAAUUGACGUAUCAGCGAGUGUAUGUCUGUCCGAGAGAGUUAAAACUUGUGAAAUACGUCAAUGACCGGGAUUAUGGACUGCAAUUGUUCAUAUAAACGAGGAAUUCCCAGUAAGGGCACGUCAUCAGCGUGCGCUGAUUACGUCCCUGCCCUUUGUACACACCGCCCGUCGCUACUACCGAUUGAAUGGUUUAGUGAGGUUAUCGGAUUCGUGCUGGUGGAGUGGCAACACAUCGCCGGCGUGGRRAAGAUAAUCGAACUUGAUCAUUUAGAGGAAGUAAAAGUCGUAACAAGGUUUCBGUAGUGAAC
rnacentral:rRNA from 1 species